ACGGGAGGCAGCAGUGGGGAAUAUUGGGCAAUGGGCGCAAGCCUGACCCAGCAACGCCGCGUGAAGGAAGAAGGCUUUCGGGUUGUAAACUUCUUUUAUCAGGGACGAUAAUGACGGUACCUGAUGAAUAAGCUCCGGCUAACUACGUGCCAGCAGCCGCGGUAAUACGUAGGGAGCAAGCGUUAUCCGGAUUUACUGGGUGUAAAGGGCGUGUAGGCGGGACUGCAAGUCAGAUGUGAAAACUAUGGGCUCAACUCAUAGCCUGCAUUUGAAACUGUAGUUCUUGAGUGGUGGAGAGGCAAAUGGAAUUCCUAGUGUAGCGGUGAAAUGCGUAGAUAUUAGGAAGAACACCAGUGGCGAAGGCGAUUUGCUGGACACUAACUGACGCUGAGGCGCGAAAGCGUGGGGAGCAAACAGGAUUAGAUACCCUGGUA
rnacentral:rRNA from 2 species